AACUUUCAGCAACGGAUCUCUUGGUUCUGGCAUCGAUGAAGAACGCAGCGAAUUGCGAUAAGUAAUGUGAAUUGCAGAAUUCAGUGAAUCAUCGAAUCUUUGAACGCACAUUGCGCCCUGUGGUAUUCCGCAGGGCAUGCCUGUUCGAGCGUCAUUUAACCACUCACGCCUAGCGUGGUAUUGGGGCACGCGGUCUCGCGGCCCUCAAAAUUAGUGGCGGCGCCGGUGGGCUCUAAGCGUAGUACAUACUCCCGCUAUAGAGUUCCCCUGGUGGCUUGCCAGAACCCCCAAUUUUUACAGGUUGACCUCGGAUCAGGUAGGGAUACCCGCUGAACUUAAGCAUAUCAAUAAGCGGAGGCU
rnacentral:misc_RNA from 1 species